CGGCAACAGCUCAAAUUUGAAAUCUGGCCCUCGUGGUCCGAGUUGUAAUUUGUAGAGGAUGCUUUUGGUGCGGUACCUUCCGAGUUCCCUGGAACGGGACGCCAUAGAGGGUGAGAGCCCCGUCUGGUCGGAUACCAACCCUCUGUAAAGCUCCUUCGACGAGUCGAGUAGUUUGGGAAUGCUGCUCUAAAUGGGAGGUAUAUGUCUUCUAAAGCUAAAUACUGGCCAGAGACCGAUAGCGCACAAGUAGAGUGAUCGAAAGAUGAAAAGCACUUUGAAAAGAGGGUUAAAUAGUACGUGAAAUUGUUGAAAGGGAAGCGUUUGUGACCAGACUUGGGCUUGGUUAAUCAUCCGGCGUUCUCGCCGGUGCACUUUGCCAGCCCAGGCCAGCAUCAGUUUGCCGCGGGGGAUAAAGGCUUCGGGAACGUAGCUCUUCGGAGUGUUAUAGCCCGUUGCGUAAUACCCUGUGGCGGACUGAGGUUCGCGCAUCUGCAAGGAUGCUGGCGUAAUGGUCAUCAACGACCCGUCUUGAAACACGGACCAAGGAGUCGUCCUCGUAUGCGAGUGUUCGGGUGUCAAACCCCUACGCGUAAUGAAAGUGAACGGAGGUGGGAGCCUCGGCGCACCAUCGACCGAUCCUGAUGUUUUCGGAUGGAUUUGAGUAAGAGCAUACGGGGCCGGACCCGAAAGAAGGUGAACCUAUGCCUGUAUAGGGUGAAGCCAGAGGAAACUCUGGUGGAGGCUCGCAGCGGUUCUGACGUGCAAAUCGAUCGUCAAAUAUGGGCAUGGGGGCGAA
rnacentral:rRNA from 1 species